rnacentral:pre_miRNA from 12 species
AGCAGUUGCCAGUGUCAUUUUUGUGACGUUGCAGCUAGUAAUAUGAGCCCAGUUGCAUAGUCACAAAAGUGAUUAUUGGAAACUGUG